UACGUAGGGUGCGAGCGUUGUCCGGAAUUAUUGGGCGUAAAGAGCUCGUAGGCGGCUUGUCGCGUCGGAUGUGAAAAUCCGGGGCUCAACCUCGGGCCUGCAGUGGGUACGGGCAGACUGGAGUGCGGUAGGGGAGAAUGGAAUUCCUGGUGUAGCGGUGGAACGCGCAGAUAUCAGGAGGAACACCGAUGGCGAAGGCAGUUCUCUGGGCCGUAACUGACGCUGAGGAGCGAAAGCGUGGGGAGCGAACAGG
rnacentral:rRNA from 1 species